GGACCAGCAGGGAAGCCAGGAACCCCAGGAGAUGAAGGAAACAUUGGACCUGAGGGUCCACCUGGGCCCAGAGGAACAAAUGGCCUCCCAGGGCCUCCUGGCCUACCUGGUCCACCAGGACCAAUGGGGCCUCCUGGUGCCACCACUGAGGGAAGUGGAGAAGCU